AGCGAACGCUGGCGGCAGGCCUAACACAUGCAAGUCGAACGAACUCUUCGGAGUUAGUGGCGGACGGGUGAGUAACACGUGGGAACGUGCCUUUUGGUUCGGAAUAACUCAGGGAAACUUGUGCUAAUACCGAAUGUGCCCUUCGGGGGAAAGAUUUAUCGCCAUUAGAGCGGCCCGCGUCUGAUUAGCUAGUUGGUGAGGUAACGGCUCACCAAGGCGACGAUCAGUAGCUGGUCUGAGAGGAUGACCAGCCACACUGGGACUGAGACACGGCCCAGACUCCUACGGGAGGCAGCAGUGGGGAAUCUUGCGCAAUGGGCGAAAGCAUGACGCAGCCAUGCCGCGUGAAUGAUGAAGGUAUUAGGAUUGUAAAAUUCUUUCAACGGGGAAGAUAAUGACGGUACCCGGAGAAGAAGCCCCGGCUAACUUCGUG
rnacentral:rRNA from 1 species